GAUGAACGCUAGCUACAGGCUUAACACAUGCAAGUCGAGGGGCAUCGGGAAGAAAGCUUGCUUUCUUUGCUGGCGACCGGCGCACGGGUGAGUAACACGUAUCCAACCUGCCCUUUACUCGGGGAUAGCCUUUCGAAAGAAAGAUUAAUACCCGAUAGCAUAAUGAUUCCGCAUGGUUUCAUUAUUAAAGGAUUCCGGUAAAGGAUGGGGAUGCGUUCCAUUAGGUUGUUGGUGAGGUAACGGCUCACCAAGCCUUCGAUGGAUAGGGGUUCUGAGAGGAAGGUCCCCCACAUUGGAACUGAGACACGGUCCAAACUCCUACGGGAGGCAGCAGUGAGGAAUAUUGGUCAAUGGGCGGUAGCCUGAACCAGCCAAGUAGCGUGAAGGAUGAAGGCUCUAUGGGUCGUAAACUUCUUUUAUAUAAGAAUAAAGUGCAGUAUGUAUACUGUUUUGUAUGUAUUAUAUGAAUAAGGAUCGGCUAACUCCGUGCCAGCAGCCGCGGUAAUACGGAGGAUCCGAGCGUUAUCCGGAUUUAUUGGGUUUAAAGGGAGCGUAGGUGGACUGGUAAGUCAGUUGUGAAAGUUUGCGGCUCAACCGUAAAAUUGCAGUUGAUACUGUCAGUCUUGAGUACAGUAGGGGUGGGCGGAAUUCGUGGUGUAGCGGUGAAAUGCUUAGAUAUCACGAAGAACUCCGAUUGCGAAGGCAGCUCACUGGACUGCAACUGACACUGAUGCUCGAAAGUGUGGGUAUCAAACAGG
rnacentral:rRNA from 1 species